GAGGAAUAUUGGUCAAUGGGCGCAAGCCUGAACCAGCCAUCCCGCGUGCAGGAAGACGGCCCUAUGGGUUGUAAACUGCUUUUCCAGGGGGAGAAUUUUUCUGUCGUGACAGGAAUUGACGGUACCCUGGGAAUAAGCAUCGGCUAACUCCGUGCCAGCAGCCGCGGUAAUACGGAGGAUGCGAGCGUUAUCCGGAUUUAUUGGGUUUAAAGGGUGCGUAGGCGGAUUGAUAAGUCAGUGGUGAAAACCUGCAGCUUAACUGUAGACUUGCCGGUGAGACUGUCAGUCUUGAGUGUGGUCAAGGUAGGCGGAAUGUGUAAUGUAGCGGUGAAAUGCUUAGAUAUUACACAGAACACCGAUUGCGAAGGCAGCUUACUGGGCCAUUACUGACGCUGAUGCACGAAAGCGUGGGGA
rnacentral:rRNA from 1 species